GCAUCGCGCCUCAGACUGAAAAGCUUCAGGUCUCAGGAAAAAGGACGUCAGGUGUCAGGUCUCAUACAAUUAGGCAUCAGACGAAACGGACUCAGACAAAAAGGCAUCAGACGAAACGGACUCAGACAAAAAGGCAUCAGACGAAACGGACUCAGGAAAAAAGGCAUCAGACGAAACGGACUCAGGAAAAAAGGCAUCAGACGAAACGGACUCAGACAAAAAGGCAUCAGACGAAACGGACUCAGACAAAAAGGCAUCAGACGAAACGGACUCAGGAAAAAAGGCAUCAGACGAAACGGACUCAGGAAAAAAGGCAUCAGACGAAACGGACUCAGGAAAAAAGGCAUCAAAAGAAACGGACUCAGACAAAAAGGCAUCAGAUGAAACGGACUCAGACAAAAAGGCAUCAGACGAAACGGACUCAGGUGGAGUAUCGCGUUGCCCCGCCCCAGGUGACGUCACACGCACGCGGUUCAGAGGAAGUGGUAUAUAACGGUUGAUUGAUGGCAAAAGGAGGUAAGCAGCGUCUGAUAUAUUAUAUUUUAACAGUUUUAUUCAAAUGUUACACUAAUUAAGUUACCCAUAGUUCAGUUUGCCAGAUUGAAGAGGCCACAAGACUACAGUCAAAAUGCACUGCUUGGGGACAAAUUCGGCAAUCAAGGGUUACUGCGAGCAGGUUCCGGGAGGUUUGUCAUAUGGUUGGGGAUUCAGCUAGUCAGUCGUUGGCCGCAAGAAUCAUUAAGGGCACAAGGCAGACAAGUGCUAUGAAAUGUGGCCUUGAAUUUGAGCCAGAU
ensembl:lncRNA